UCGGCCUACCCGACCGGCGCUCUUGCGUCCGACAGACCCAGAAUACCGGGAGCACAGGGCGCCCUCCCCGCGCUUCCAUCCAGCGGGGCACCGGGCGCGUCCACUCUGAAUUCCCGUACUAGGGCGUCGCGGGAGACCACUGCGGCAGUGACGUCAGCUGAUCUCGGGGGCUCGAUCCUCCCGCUACCUCACAGUUUAUGCCCUACCAAGGCAAGGCUCCAGUGGCUUCCCUUGGCAGGUGAGGCCCCAGGCCUUCCAGGCCUGCAGGGCAGAAAAAGGGACCAAAGACUUCUGUGUGAAGUGAAAUUCUCCUACCAAGAAAAUGAGAAAUGAUGAUAUUGAGAAGACAAAGGUGGCAAAGAGACCAAAAGUUCCCCUGGCCAACCAUCGCCCUUCUUUGUUAGUGUUUGCUGGUUAAUAUGUAGGAAAAGCUUUCAACCUGUUUUGGACCCGCAUGGUGGAAGAGACAACAACCUACUCCCACAAUUGUCCUCUGACCUCUACAUGUGUAAAGUGACAUUUGCUCUCAAGCAGAAUGAUCUCUAGGAUCUCACUGCUGUGCUCUGGAGAUGGGGCUUUAUUAGCCUCUGUGCUGAUAUUCAUGCACAAGAGGACUUGGAGCUGUGAGUGGCCCUGACCUAAGUGAUUGCUGAAUUCCCAGCAUUUGGAGUUCAACUUGGCUCACACAUGCCUGCUUGUCAGCAAUGGCUUUUGGAUUGUGCCUGCAAGGACUUCCUGGACCCCCAUCAGUGCCAUCCUGCCCACCAGCCACAGUUGAAGGACUUUCCAGUGGACAUGGGCCAAGCCUGCAAACUUCCAAAGCAUCUUCACCAGGGAAGACUCUCCCGUGCAACCUUGUAGCGGCAUUUUUGCCCAAACAGCUGUUCCCUGCUUGGGUGAUUGUGCAGAUAAAAGUGCAUAUUCCCUACCUCUGUUCAUCUGGAUUCUGUGUGUUUUCUUGGACUGUGUGCCCCACAGAAACAGCAAAGACUGGAAGAUAGUCAGAUGUUUUGCUUGCAUUUGUAUCUGAGCACUACACGCAUGCCUGGUACCCACACAGGGCAUCAGAUCCCCCUGAAAAUGAAGCUAUGGAUGGUUGUGAGCUGUCAUGUGGGCUUGACACUUUGUGAGAGGCUGAACUUGAAAAUGAUGGACUAUUUGGCAACGUUCAAGGCAUCAAAGAGGACGAGCAGAGACAUAUGUAUUAUUGUCUGCUUUCAGCCACACCUCCAAUAAACGCUGGAGAAUGGGCACCUUGGUAUUUCCUUCUAUCAUGUUGAUUUCCCAUCACACAAAAUAAAUAAAAGUAAUCAAAAUUUUAAAUUGGAAAAUACCAAAUAAUGAGACUAUG
ensembl:lncRNA